rnacentral:rRNA from 1 species
CCCUACGCUGAGUUACCAGCACGUAAAGGUGGGGACGUCUCAGUGGACUGCCGGCGACAAGCCGGAGGAGGGUGGGGACGACGUCAAGUCAUCAUGGCCCUCAUGUCCAGGGCGACACACGUGCUACAAUGGCCGGCACAACGGGAAGCGACGGCGCGAGUCGUAGCGGAUCCCUCAAAGCCGGUCCCAGUUCGGAUUGCAGUCUGCAACUCGACUGCAUGAAGCCGGAAUCGCUAGUAAUCGUGGAUCAGCCAAGCCGCGGUGAAUACGUUCCCGGGCCUU